UACGUAGGGACCAAGCGUUGUUCGGAUUUACUGGGCGUAAAGGGCGCGUAGGCGGCUUAACAAGUCACUUGUGAAAUCUCCGGGCUUAACUCGGAACGGCCAAGUGAAACUGUCAAGCUAGAGUGCAGAAGGGGCAAUCGGAAUUCUUGGUGUAGCGGUGAAAUGCGUAGAUAUCGAGAGGAACACCAGUGGCGAAGGCGAAUCUCUGGACAAUUCCUGACACUGAUGCUCGAAAGCUAGGGGAGCAAACGGG
rnacentral:rRNA from 1 species